rnacentral:rRNA from 1 species
UACGUAAGGUGCAAGCGUUGUCCGGAAUUAUUGGGCGUAAAGAGCUCGUAGGCGGUUUGUCGCGUCUGCUGUGAAACUGGAGGCUCAACCUCCAGCCUGCAGUGGGUACGGGCAGACUAGAGUGCGGUAGGGGAGAUUGGAACUCCUGGUGUAGCGGUGGAAUGCGCAGAUAUCAGGAAGAACACCGAUGGCGAAGGCAGAUCUCUGGGCCGUAACUGACGACUGGAGG